rnacentral:rRNA from 1 species
UAACGCGUGGGAAUCUGCCCUCAAGUACGGAAUAACUCAGGGAAACUUGAGCUAAUACCGUAUAAUGACUCCGGUCCAAAGAUUUAUCGCCUGAGGAUGAGCCCGCGUCGGAUUAGCUAGUUGGUGAGGUAAGAGCUCACCACGGCGACGAUCCGUAGCUGGUCUGAGAGGAUGAUAGCCACACUGGGACUGAGACACGGCCCAGACUCCUACGGGAGGCAGCAGUGGGGAAUAUUGGACAAUGGGCGCAAGCCUGAUCCAGCAAUGGCGCGUGAGUGAUGAAGGCCUUAGGGUUGU